UUUGUCUCAUGACGCGCGCGAGAGAGAGAGAGACCCGCGCUUGACAUCAGAGAGCGCAACGCGGAACCACGGGCGGUGGGUGAGAACUGGCUGCUUCUCCCCAGAGCAUCCUCCCUCCGCUCAUCCCAUUAUUCUCAGUCCCGUGACACCGGAUGCUGCGGUCCAACCCGAGAGGAGAGUACGCAUCUCCAGUAAGAGCUACGUAGGAAGUCUGACGUAGAAGGGGAGGGAGCGGGAGAGAGACGGGACACUCGGAUGCAGGAGUAGAGCUGCUGCUGGCUUUGGGAGGCAGCGAUGACGCAGACACACCGCCUCCCUUGUUCACCCGGAACGUGCUUGUCAUGAAGAUCCGACGCUUUGCCUGUGUCAGAGAGUCCUCCGCAGUAGGAGAGUCAGAGAGAAUUAAAGGGAAAGUGGAUAGAAAUCCAGUAAAAGGCCGGAAUUAAAAGGUCGGCCUUGUGUAAGUGCAGAGCUAAUCAUUUGGUUUUAUGUCGGCCAACCUCAUGGCAACAGCCAAAGGAUGUACACCGCUGUUUCGGGCGUCGCCAUGAGGUUGAUCGGCCAAACCCCGAUACAUUGGAAUCAUGACAGAUUCUAAUGGGCCCAUUAAUGAAUCAUUACGAGCGGACACCAAUGUGUGGCAGCUACAGGGUCACUGAUGUCCCCAAUGGAUGUGGCUCCUCUCCAGCAACAACCCCCCCACCCGCCCUGGCAAGCUGUCCGCUACAGUAUAUCCUCCACCCAUUUCUCAGGCAUUCACAGCGGGCACGGCGAGGCAAGGAGAUGGGCCUCGGGGCCGCAGGGCCUCGUGACCCACUUACAACCCCCCCGAGACUGAUCGGCAUCGGCCUGCCAGUUACAGUUAUGUAACUGAUGCUGGGAAAAGCAAGGAGAAGAAUUACAAGAGUAAAAAAAAAGAAAGGAGUCCAAUGUCUACCAGUGAAGGGGCUCGUCAGAGAGGAUCAUCCCAUCAGAUGGGAUCUGGGCGGGAUGUCGGAUGCUCACACUAAUACCACGAUUCUGCUGCUGUUACACGGUUUAUGAAUCAAUUUUCACUGCACCGAUCGGGGGAAUUAGACUCGACCAACUCCAAUCAGAGUGUUAGCAAUGCUAACAUGGUACGGCUCUCGUUCCACCACAACAGUGCAAUGGAUUGACAUCCACGGUCCCCAGAGGAUGAAUCCUACGGACUACUGAAGAGAGUCGGCUCUGAUGGACAUUUUAGCAUGUUGCCAAGCUAACCUGAUGUUAAGAUGUUCGUCAUGGUCAACAUUCGACCUUUUGAACAUAUUUGUUUAAAUAUUUUUACUGUGUGCAUGUUAACAAGGUACUGUUAGCAAUACAGUGUGACAGUUGUAGUAGUCUCAACAACUAAGUUGUAACACAAACUGUUUUUUGUUUUUUGUAGAUGAAUGCCCUCAUUGGACAGUCACCCAUGGAGUAAAAAAUUGACAUUUGAGGUGCAAAUCAUGCACAUUUUCAACAGUUUGUUUUUACAAUUACCAUUAUAUUAUUAUAAUUAGAUUAUAUUUGUGUGAUCAGGUUUUAUUUUUUCUUCCUAAUACCAGUAACAUAUAGCAUAAACUGAGUAUUCAGUAGUAACUGAAAUGUUUGAAAUGAACACUCUCAUCACAUUGCAUACGCAAGCACAAUAAUUACAUUUUACAUGAAUAUUUUGCGCAGGCCCCCACUGAGAGACACCUACGCCCAUCACUGCGGGCAAGCACCAUCCCCACCGCGGCUUUCCCCCUCAUCACUCCGCUCCGCUUCUCGAGCUGUGAUCUGAUUGGCUGUUGGAGGGGUGAGGCUCACUGCAGAGGCAAGAACAGCGGGUGCAGGGUGGGGUGGGCUUCCCCCUCUAGGCACGACUCACACACACAUAACCAACCACCCACCUACACACACACACACACACACGCAGGGAAUCCCUCCUCACUGUUUGCCGCAUGUCUCGUUUUCCAUUACACGCCGCCAUCGAAUCGUUCACCGCAUAAUCACGUUGGGAAGCAGUGCGCACCAAAUGUGAUUGAGUGGUUUUGGUAAUCUGAGGUUUCUUUUUUCUUCUAAGGUUUACCAGAUUUCACCUUUUGUCAGGAGGAGUUUGAGCGUGACUCCCAGCGCUGUGUUAUUUAUAGGGGGGGUCUGGGGUCCAGAGCUGAUGGUUAUGCACGGCUCUGCCAUCACAGGGUAAGACGACACACACCGGGAGGCAGCUGUCGAGCUAAGCUUGGGUUUCACUGAUGUGUGAGAUUGGCGGUGUUUGUUUGUGACAGCAGCGAAGUUGGCAUGAGGGAGCCCCCAGUGGAUUGGGAGAGGGACGUAUUUCCAGUUCUGUGUUGUGAGGGUGUGUUUGUGUGUUGUGAAUGUUAGUAUGCGUGCGUCAGAGGGAGGAACACAGACACUGAAAGGGCACAGCGACCUUUUGUAUACUGUUAAAAUGUAUAAACAUUCUCAAUGUGAAUGUGGGAUAUUUAUACUGGUACGGACGGGUUAAUGUUUUAGGAACGAAAGGAUGCCACACAACUGUGGGUUUCUACAGUGCCAUUAUUUCAGACAAAGCUACUGAUGUAGCUAGAGAGAGUAUGUCGUGUGACAUAAAAGAUACAUCUCAUGCAAAAAGCAAAUUUAUCAAAUUAAAUGUUAAUGCGUUGUAAAAAAAAAGAAUAUAACACAACAUUAAUGUGGAUUUGUGCAUUUUGCCUUUUGGAAAGCCCACUGCACUGCAGCCCUUCUAAUAAUAACUGACCGUGAUAUGAAUGGAGAAGUCCAUAUUUGGUGAAGGAGCACGGAGGUGGGGGGUUAUCUCAUGCCCUAACGGUCACAGAUGACAUCAGUCUGGACUGAUCUGGACACUCUUACUCUCCCCCUUAUCUGCGAGAGAGACGAGGGUUGCGGUAGUUGUGUUGUGGCCGUGCACGGUGCCAGGAAGCGCGAGGCGGCCCGAAGCACGGCCACACUGUUACCCGAGGAAUGGGAGGAAUGUUUGAGGACCCAAUGUGAGAGACACGCGGAUCCCUUCGGCUCUGAUGAAAUCAUUUAAGACCAGUUGUGGGUUUUUAGAUCAGGUGAUUACAAUGCGUGUGUGUUGUGUGCGAGUUCGGUCGUCAGGUGACUGAUGGCAGGGCCAUCGAUAAGACCUGUAAAGCGAUCAGCUGAUUCCUUCAGCCCCUAUUUUUAGAAAGGAAUGUGUUGCACACGGUAAAACAUUUCAAGUCAGUUAAACAUGCAAAUGAAAGUUCACCUGCUGCCUUGAAAAUGUGAGUCAACAAAAUGUGAAGAUUGCCUUUGAUUUAACCCACAAAUCAAAGUUUAUUAAGUUGAUUUAAUUGAAAGGUUCUAGUUGUCUCAACUGUUUACUGUCUAAGUUGUUUUUUUUCACUUCUUGUUUGAACUUGAUAUAGCGAGUUAAAAGAAAAGAAUUGUUUUGCAUGUACCUGACUGACUGUUUGCUUUAAAACAAAAAACCUAAAUCAUCCAUAAUUCUUACUUCUGAUUUAAAAAAUAAAGCAUUCAUUUGCUGAAAAUAUACACAAGAUUUACAGUUGUGUUUAAGUACAUCUCAAACAUGCAAACACCCAGAUAGUUUAAAAACAAGUGCACAACGUACAAAUAGAGGCAAUCCGACAGAAGGUGGGGUUGUGGACUUAAGAAGGUGGGGUUGUGGACAUUUUCGUGGACCUCUUAAUUAUCUUCCAUUUGUCACUAUACAACCAUGAGAUAAUUAGAGGAGGUCCAUGAAAUCAACCAUGAAAAUGUUCUUUACUAAUACCUCAGACAGUCCAUAAAAUCAAUACAGUUAUACUUAUACAAAUACACACAAUAUUAAACAUUAUAUUAACAAAUGACCUAUGUUGACAACCAUGAGGAAAAAUAUGAGAUAAUAAAUGUAGGUUCAUAAAAUCUCAAUAUGACAUUAUAACAAAUCACCUUGCAAAAUGUGGAAUGCUGAGAACUUCAUGAAUUAGUUCUUACUUUUUUUUCUUUGUUGUAAUCUCUUCUUGUGUUUAAAAACCAACCUGAACUUACAGAACACUUUGGUAGGUUUUUAACUUUUACAUUCAUGAACCAAACAUGACGUGCGUAACAGGCGACGUCCAAGUAGUUUGCAUUGUUGCUGAUUAUUGGUACGGUUUAAUGUCUAUAACGACCUUUUCAAGGAACUCAAAGGUCAACUUCAGAAUUAAAUAUUCAAUUUAAAAAAGAAGUUAAAUAAAGAUUUGAAGAAAAAUAACGUAAAGGUAAAUACAUCAGCAGCUAAACAACUGUUACAUUAGUAACAUUAAACAUUAUGUUAAUUAAGAACUAGACAAUGCUUGCUGAAUGCGUUGGAAUGAGAUUGAGGAAGAAGGAUUUCAAAGUUGAAGAAGUUCUAGGGGGAUUUGAAAAAGAUCUCCAUUGAAAAAACAUGUUAAAAAUAUAAAUAUUAAUUGAUGUUAAAUCAAGCAUAAAAUGUACAAAGCUGAAAAUGAAUAUCUUACUGGGUCGACGGUUUUAAGAGCUGAAAAUUUGAAGGAGCUGAAAACGUUUGAAAUAUGCAUGGAAGAAAUAGAAAGAUAAAGAGCAAAAUAAAUUGAGUCAUAAUACUGUAAGUUUAACUUUCGAGAAGAGUUUAUAUACAUCUCUUCCUUUUUCGCAUGUCCUUAGGUGAAAUGCCAUCUUGCGUCAUGCCCGGUAGGAAAUUGUAAUUGCUCAUGACGAGUAAUCGUACAGCCGUGGCUGAUGUGAAUGAGUUAAGUCUGGCAAAGCUAUGAAAAUGUAUAAAAUGUUAAACAAAUGACUUUUUACCUAUUAAUGUCACUAGGUUGAGCCAGAAUCCGGCAGAAUCCUCCCCUGGGGAUUAUGAAUAUCUGGAUAAAAAUUAUAUUAAUGUUAUAUUGUAUAUUGUACCUGCUGAAGGUGUCCUCUCAUCAAUGUGUGAAUGAUGAUUUGUGUUUUAAAGCGCUUUGAGUGGUCAAAAGACAGUAGAAAAGUGACAUAAAAGCACAGUGUUUUUAGUCUUUUCAGGAGAUUUUAUGCCAGUAACAAAAAUAAAGAUUCCCGCCAACCAUGCACUUUUAUGGAACAACGGGUUCAGGUCAUUAUUCCAACACAUGAAUAAAAAAAGGAUCUGUACCACGACUUUGCUAACUAGAUCAGAUUUGAAUGUACUUGUUUCUUCAGCAUUCCAGAUUUUGUCAGCAUCAGCUAAUCAGAGAUGUGCUUGACAGAAGGAGACCUGGGGGAUGUGUGUAUUCAUCAUGCUGACGAGUGUGUGUGCCAUGUGUUGAUCGCAUGCAGAAUACAUAAAUUAUGUUAUGUUAAUUAUGCAUUUUCGCUCCAUAUAUUCAGCAUGUGUCAAUUUUUUGCACCACCGCUGGCAGGAUAAUUGGGUGUAUUGCAAACAUUUUUAAACAUUACUUUGUCUGAAGGAUCUCCACCAAAUGUGCCAGAACAGAAGAUAAAUGGUAUUAUACUUUGGGCCAAGACACAAGUAGAUGCAGUUUGAUUCAUUUCUGUCCCAACAUUUUUUGAAGGGUUCAAAUUACAAUAAUUCUUCAGAAAGUGGCAAUCAAGCCUCCCCUGUCAUAGCAAGAAGGCCAGCUGUGUGAAGGAAUUUGAAAUAGUUAAUCAAAGUGGUUUUCAUCAUUAUAAUUUUUAUAUAUUCAAAUUCUGGCUCCACCCACACGUAAUUGAUUUGUUUUUGGCACUGAAAUGAUAGAUCUUCAGCUGUGUUGUCGGCCACGUAUAUCCGUGGCAUUGAGGCUAUCCGUCAAUGCACGUGCAUGAAGACACGCAGCCUUAUGUGUUCCGUAUCCAUGGCAACGGGGCUCAUCCAUUAACCCUUCGCUCAGAAGAGUAUCUCGGGUAGACAGGCAAUGAUGUAUUUUCAAGUGAAUGCAAACACCAUCAGCAAGAACAAAUACACGAUGGGGUAAUUUGCUGACGUCCUGUUUGCCCCAAGGGGACCAAUAUCCCCCCAAAAUCGUUUCGGAGUACUGAGUAAACUUUGCACAGUGUUAAUUGUGUUUGAAGUUGCUUUGGAGCCAAACAUCAUCAGACGCGUCAGGCUCGCGGCUGAAAUCUGCUUUCUUUCAUUGUCAUAACCGCCAUUUUCACUCACCUUCUCCAGCUCCACCUGCUCUCCCUCUCUCCUCGACCUGUUCCUCUCAAUUCGUUUCAUCAGUCAGAGGCAAAAUCCGUUACAGAGAGACAGUGUGUGGUCAAAGGCCGAGUGUUUCCAGAGAACAUGCCUAAGAGAUUCUGUACGGUAUUGUAUCAUUUGUUCAGCGACUUUAUGCAUUUUUGGUGAUUUUUUUUGCGGCCUUUCUCCAUGAAGGUCGAAGGUCAGGGUCAGAUACAGUGCACCCUUCAGGUAAGCUUAUCAAUAGUUAGUGCUUUCCAACAUGAAGGUCAAAAUCCCGCCAUCUCUUUAAACAUGUGACCUCCCGGCCCUGAUCCGCCCCCCUCCCCCGUUCCCCAGGGCCGACGCUAAGCUUCCUACCUACAAUCUGUCUCUCACGCCCAUCCACACACACACACACACACACACACACACACACACACACACACACACACACACCUUACACCACAUGCUCAGAGAAUACAUUGGGCGACAGGGAGAUGAAAGCAGUGAGAGAUUUGUCACGACAUCCUCACUGCUUGCAGGUUCAUAUCAUGGUGAAAGGCGUGAAAGUAACCAGUAAUAGAUUACAAAUAGUUGAUCAAGAAAUGAAAUAUUUAAUUGUGUGGUCAUAGUGAUAAUGUCUGCUUAUGUUGU